UAGGGAAUCUUCCACAAUGGACGCAAGUCUGAUGGAGCAACGCCGCGUGAGUGAAGAAGAUCUUCGGAUCGUAAAACUCUGUUGUUAGAGAAGAACACGAGUGAGAGUAACUGUUCAUUCGAUGACGGUAUCUAACCAGCAAGUCACGGUUAACUACGUACCAG
rnacentral:rRNA from 1 species